UGAGGAAUAUUGGACAAUGGGCGCAAGCCUGAUCCAGCAAUGCCGCGUGCAGGAUGAAGGCCUUCGGGUUGUAAACUGCUUUUGUACGGAGCGAAAAGGUCUGCCCUAAUACGGUGGGCUCAUGACGGUACCGUAAGAAUAAGCACCGGCUAACUACGUGCCAGCAGCCGCGGUAAUACGUAGGGUGCGAGCGUUAAUCGGAAUUACUGGGCGUAAAGCGUGCGCAGGCGGUUAUAUAAGACAGAUGUGAAAUCCCCGGGCUCAACCUGGGACCUGCAUUUGUGACUGUAUAGCUAGAGUACGGUAGAGGGGGAUGGAAUUCCGCGUGUAGCAGUGAAAUGCGUAGAUAUGCGGAGGAACACCGAUAGCGAAGGCAAUCCCCUGGACCUGUACUGACGCUCAUGCACGAAAGCGUGGGGAGCAAACA
rnacentral:rRNA from 1 species